ensembl:snRNA U2 U2 spliceosomal RNA
AUUAGUAAAUGGGGUCGGGGAGUAAUACCAUUCUUAUCAGUUUAAUAUCUGAUACGUCCCCUACCCGGGGACCAUAUAUUAAAUUGAUUUUUGGAACAGGGAGAUGGAAUAGGGGCUUGCUCCGUCCACUCCACGCAUCGACCCGGUAUUGCAGUACCUCCGGGAACGGUGCACCUCCU